rnacentral:rRNA from 1 species
UACAGAGGAGCCAAGCGUUGUCCGGAUUGACUGGGCGUAAAGCGCACGCAGGCGGAUGCGCGCGUGGGGUGUGAAAUCUGGCCGCUUAACGGCCAGGCGCCAUCCCAUACGGCGCGUCUGGAGUGAUGCAGAGGUCGAUGGAAUUCCUGGUGUAGCGGUGAAAUGCGCAGAUAUCAGGAGGAACACCGGUGGCGAAGGCGGAUCUCUGGGCCUUACCUGACGCUCAGGUGCGAAAGCUAGGGGAGCGAACAGG